GAAGACAGCCAUAAUAGGUUGGAAACACCUGUUCCCUUUCCGAACACAGAAGUUAAGCUUCCUAUGUUGGCGAUUUUAGUAUCCUACAAGAUGCGAAUUCGUCAAGCUGUCCUCU
rnacentral:rRNA from 1 species